CGCGUAGGCGGUUCCGUAAGUUCCGCGUGAAAUCCCCCGGCUCAACCGGGGAAUGGCGCGGAAAACUGCGGGGCUUGAGUUCGGGAGAGGGAAGCGGAAUUCCGGGUGUAGCGGUGAAAUGCGUAGAUAUCCGGAGGAACACCGGUGGCGAAGGCGGCUUCCUGGACCGACACUGACGCUGAGGCGCGAAAGCUAGGGGAGCAAACGGGAUUAGAUACCCCGGUAGUCCUAGCUGUAAACGAUGAGUGCUGGGUGUAGGGGGUAUCAACCCCCCCUGUGCCGAGGCUAACGCAUUAAGCACUCCGCCUGGGGAGUACGGUCGCAAGGCUGAA
rnacentral:rRNA from 1 species